GCACUUGUAGCUCAACUGGAUAGAGUACUGGUCUACGAAACCAGCGGUUGCAGGUUCGAGCCCUGCCAAGUGCG
rnacentral:tRNA from 1 species